rnacentral:rRNA from 1 species
AGAGUUUGAUCCUGGCUCAGGAUGAACGCUGGCGGUGUGCCUUAAGCAUGCAAGUGGAAUGCCGAUGAUCCCGCAAGGGGCUAUCGGCAUCGCAGACGGGUGAGUAAUGCAUAGGAAUCUACCCUUUGGCGGGGAAUAACCCCGUGAAAACGGGACUAAUACCGCAUAAGUACUGAGAGUAAUCGAAGUAGAAAGGCCUUAACGGGUCACCGAAGGAGGAGCCUAUGUCCUAUCAGCUAGUUGGUGGGGUAAGAGCCUACCAAGGCUACGACGGGUAGCUGGAUUGAGAGAUCGGUCAGCCACAAUAGCACUGAGACACGGGCUAUACGCCUACGGGCGGCAGCAACUGGGAAUUUUGCGCAAUGGACGAAAGUCUGACGCAGCGACACCGCGUGAGGGAUGAAGGCCUUAGGGUCGUAAACCUCUUUUGUCCCGACGCACGUCGGGAAGAAUAAGCACUGACUAACUACGUGCCAGCAGUAGCGGUAAUACGUAGGGUGCAAGCGUUAUCCGGAUUUAUUGGGCGUAAAGAGUUCGUAGGUUUUUUAUCAAGUUUUGUUUGAAAGCCCGAGGCUUAACCUCGGACCCGGACAAAAAACUGAUAGGAUUGAGUCUGUUAGGGGGUACUGGAACUGAUAGUGUAGCAGUGAAAUGCGUUGAUAUUAUCAGGAACACCGAGGGCGAAGGCAGGUACCUGGGACAUGACUGACACUGAGGAACGAAAGCUAGGGGAGCGAAUCGGAUUAGAUACCCGAGUAGUCCUAGCCGUAAACGAUGUCCGCUUGAUCUUUGGCCGCAAGGCUGAGGGUCGGAGCUAACGCGUGAAGCGGACCGCCUGGGGAGUACGGCCGCAAGGUUGAAACUUAAAGGAAUUGACGGGAAUCUGCACAACCAGGGGAGCAUGUGGUUUAAUUCGUUAAUAAGCGAUGUACCUUACCUAGGUUUGACACGCUAGCGUCCUAUCUCCCAGAAACGGGGGAAAUUUGUAAAAAGGCUAGUACAGCUGUUGCAUGGCUGCCGUCAGCUCGUGCCGUGGGGUGUCCACUUAAGUGUGGAAACGAGCGCAACCCUUAUCGUAUGUUCAAUAGUCAUAUGAAACUGCCUCGCGUUGAGUGAGGAGGAAGGAGGGGAUGAUGCCAAGUCAGCAUGACGCUUAUGUCUAGGGCCACACACAUCCUACAAUGGGGAGUAACAACGGGUCGCCAAGCCGCAAGGCGGAGCUAAUCCCAUCAAACCUCCCCUCAGUUCAGAUUGGAGGCUGCAACUCGCCUCCAUGAAGCCGGACUUGGUAGUAAUCGCAGAUCAGCAGGCUGCGGUGAAUACGUUCUCAGAUUUUGUACACACCGCCCAUCAAGCCAGCAAAGUUGGGGGCGCCUGAUACCCCGGUGUUACACCGGGACAAGGGCGAACUCAGCGAUGAGGGCUAAGUUGUGAAUUUGUUGCAACCU